rnacentral:rRNA from 1 species
AUUGAACGCUGGCGGCAGGCCUAACACAUGCAAGUCGAACGAGUGGCGGACGGGUGAGUAAUGUCUGGGAAACUGCCCGAUGGAGGGGGAUAACUCCUGGAAACGCUAGCUAAUACCGCAUACCAUCGGAUGUGCGCAGAUGGGAUUAGCUUGUAGGUGGGGGAACGGCCCACCUAGGCGACGAUCCCUAGCUGGUCUGUGAGGAUGACCAGCCACACGGGAACUGAGACACGGUCCAGACUCCUACGGGAGGCAGCAGGGGGGAAUAUUGCACAAUGGGCGCAAGCCUGAUGCAGCCAUGCCGCGUGUAUGAAGAAGGCCUUCGGGUUGUAAAGUACUUUCAGCGGGGAGGCGUUACCCGCAGAAGAAGCACCGGCUAACUCCGUGCCAGCCGCCGCGGUAAUAC